GAGUUUGAUCCUGGCUCAGGAUGAACGCUAGCGGCAGGCCUAACACAUGCAAGUCGAGGGGCAGCGGGGAUAAGCUUGCUUAUCCGCCGGCGACCGGCGCACGGGUGCGCAACGCGUAUAGAAUCUGCCCUGUACUGGGGAAUAGCCCAGAGAAAUUUGGAUUAAUGCCCCAUGGUAUGUAUUAGCGGCAUCGCUUAUACAUUAAAGGCUACGGUACAGGAUGACGAUGCGUCCCAUUAGUUAGUUGGUAAGGUAACGGCUUACCAAGGCAGCGAUGGGUAGGGGCCCUGAGAGGGGGAUCCCCCACACUGGUACUGAGACACGGACCAGACUCCUACGGGAGGCAGCAGUGAGGAAUAUUGGACAAUGGGCGGGAGCCUGAUCCAGCCAUGCCGCGUGCAGGAAGACGGUCCUAUGGAUUGUAAACUGCUUUUGUACGGGAAGAACAAGGGGCACGUGUGCCCCUCUGACGGUACCGUAAGAAUAAGGAUCGGCUAACUCCGUGCCAGCAGCCGCGGUAAUACGGAGGAUCCGAGCGUUAUCCGGAAUCAUUGGGUUUAAAGGGUCCGUAGGCGGGCCAUUAAGUCAGGGGUGAAAGUCUGCGGCUCAACCGUAGAAUUGCCCUUGAUACUGGUGGUCUUGAGUUAUGGUGAAGUAACUAGAAUAUGUAGUGUAGCGGUGAAAUGCAUAGAUAUUACAUAGAAUACCGAUUGCGAAGGCAGGUUACUAACCAUAUACUGGAAGGCAGGUUACUAACCAUAUACUGACGCUGAUGGACGAAAGCGUGGGGAGCGAACAGGAUUAGAUACCCUGGUAGUCCACGCCGUAAACGAUGGAUACUAGCUGUCCGGAUGCAAAUCUGGGCGGCCAAGCGAAAGUGAUAAGUAUCCCACCUGGGGAGUACGUCCGCAAGGAUGAAACUCAAAGGAAUUGACGGGGGCCCGCACAAGCGGUGGAGCAUGUGGUUUAAUUCGAUGAUACGCGAGGAACCUUACCAGGGCUUAAAUGUGGUCUGACAGCUUUAGAGAUAGAGCCUCCUUCGGGCAGAUCACAAGGUGCUGCAUGGUUGUCGUCAGCUCGUGCCGUGAGGUGUCAGGUUAAGUCCUAUAACGAGCGCAACCCCUGCCGUUAGUUGCCAGCAUGUAAAGAUGGGGACUCUAACGGGACUGCCGGUGCAAACCGCGAGGAAGGUGGGGAUGACGUCAAAUCAUCACGGCCCUUACGUCCUGGGCCACACACGUGCUACAAUGGCCGGUACAGAGAGCAGCCACUGGGCAACCAGGAGCGAAUCUAUAAAACCGGUCACAGUUCGGAUCGGGGUCUGCAACUCGACCCCGUGAAGCUGGAAUCGCUAGUAAUCGGAUAUCAGCCAUGAUCCGGUGAAUACGUUCCCGGGCCUUGUACACACCGCCCGUCAAGCCAUGGAAGCCGGGAGUGCCUGAAGUCCGUCACCGCAAGGAGCGGCCUAGGGCAAGAUCGGUAACUAGGGCUAAGUCGUAACAAGGUAGCCGUACCGGAAGGUGCGGCUGGAUCACCUCCUUUCU
rnacentral:rRNA from 1 species